UACGUAGGUGACGAGCGUUAUCCGGAAUACUGGGCGUAAAGCGCACGCAAGCGGUCCGACAAGUCUGGCGUGAAAUCUCCUGGCUUAACCAGGAGCGGUCGCUGGAAACUGUGGGGCUUGAGGCGAUGAGAGGGGUGCAGAACUUCCCGGUGUAGUGGUGGAAUGCGUAGAGAUCAUGAGGAAGACCAGUGGCGAAGGCGGGUCUCUGGACAGUUCCUGACACUGAGACACGAAGGCCAGGGGAGCAAACGGG
rnacentral:rRNA from 1 species